GUCACACAUGUGCAGACUCUGUCCACUGUUGUGGUCCUACUGAAGCUGUGAUCCGAUUGGUCCUCUCUGCUCUGGUGGGCGUGGCUACUGUCAUUCUUCUGGUUUAUGACAUCAGAUCCAGAAGAGCUGAACAAGAUCAAGCACAUAUUCACACAUCAGAAAACUUCUGAACUUAGCAGAAGUGACUGCUGAUUCAUUUAUCGUUCUCAUAACCACCGUAGAAGAUGACUUGAGAAAAAUCUAAUCUUUCACAUUUGAUUGAGAGAUUUAAAACACAUGUAAAAGAUCUUGUUUGUCUUUUGAGUGUUGUUAUCAUUUAGUCAGCACAGGCUAAUGAUGUUCAGAUCAGAUGUCUCUAAAUUUGAAGUUUGAAAGGCUUUAUUGUUUAUAUUUUCCUCAGAUAAAACACAAAGAACUCACUUUACUGCUUCUGCAGUUCAUCUGUCAUAAGUAUUUGCUUGUCUUUAUCAAUAAAGUUUUCUCACUCUGAGCUUCAAGAAUCUCUCCAGGUUUUAUUACAUUUGUGACGUUGAGCGCCCCCUGGAGGAAUACAAACUUAAUUUUAACAAUUUCAGUGCCCCCUGGAGGAAUAUUAACUUAAUUUUAACAAUUUCAGUGCCCCCUGGAGGAAUACAAACUUAAUUUUAACAAUUUCAGCGCCCCCUGGAGGAAUGCUAACUUAAUUUUUAACAAUUUCAGCA